rnacentral:lncRNA from 1 species
UUUUUUUUUUUUUUUUUUUUCCUGUGUGGACGUCCAGCCGUUCCAGCACCAUUUGUUGAAAAACUAACUUUGCCCAUUGUAUUGUCUUUGUUCCCACUACCAGUUGGCUCUAUUUGUGUGUGUCUAUUUCAGGAUUCUAUUCUGUUCUAUGAACGUGUUUUCCUGUCUUUUUACGAAUAUCACCCCAUCCCGAUCACUACAGUUCUGUCGGAAGGCUUAAGACCCAGUAGAGUCAGUCAUCCUGCUUUGUUUUUCUCCUUCCAUAUUGUGCUGCUUUUCUGGACUUUUUGACUCUCCAUAUACAUUUUAUUUUAUUAAAAAAAUUUUUUUUGUCUUUUUAGGGCCACACCUGUGGCACAUGGAGGUUCCCAUGCUAGGGGUCCAGUUGGAGCUGAAGCUGCUGGCCUGCACCACAGCCACAGCAACACGGGAUCUGAGCCACAUCUGAGACCGACACCCCAGCUCAUGGCAACGCUGGUCCUUCACCCACUGAGCGAGGCCAGGGAUCGACCCCACAUCCUCAUGGAUGCUAGUCAGGUUCACUAACCGCUGAGCCAUGAGGGGAACUCCUCCAUGUACGUUUUAGAAUCCAUUUGUGGUAUCCACAAAGAGCUGCCUAGGAUUUUGAGUGGGAUGCCUUAAAUCUACAGAUCAAAUUCGGAAGAGCUGGCCUCUUAACCACUGCCUUCCUCUCCACGAGCUUGGAACCUCUCUCCACUCAAUUAGUUCUUCUUUGAUUUCUUUCAUCGGUUUUGUAGCUUUCCUCACAUAGAUUUUGUUCCCGUUUUGUUAGGUUUAUUGUAAGCAUUUCCUUUUUCGGGGGCUCAUGUACAUGAUACUGUGUUUUAAAUGUCAAUUUCCAGUUGUUCAUUGCUAGUAUAUGAACUAGGAAUGUGACUUUUGUAUUUUAAGCUUAUAUCCUGCAGUCUUGCUAUAAUUGCUUAUUAGUCCCCAGAGUUUUCUGAUUCUUCGGAUUUUCUGUUUAGAUGACGUGCCAUUUGCGCACAAACACAGCCUUAGUCCUUCCUUCCCAACCUGCAUACCUUUUAUUUCCUUUUCUUGCCCAACUGCAUUAGCAAAGACGUUCCAUACAAGGUUGAGAAGGUGGUACAGCUGGUUUUUCCGCUCAGCAGUGGAUAUUUGUUGUUUCUGGGUUUUGCCUGCUCUGAGGAGAGCUGCUUUGUUCAGAUCAUACAGCACAUGUGUGGACAUAUGUGCUCUCUUCUCAUGGGGAAGCGCCCAGGCGUGGGAUGCUGCAUUGCAGGUCAAAGAGAUGCCGGACGGUCCGAGGCGCAGCCGAGCUCCUGUCCAGGGCGGGUUUCUGAUGGGCAGCGUGUCGGUGGCUUUUGACGCUCAUCUGAUAGUCUCUGCCUUCCAGUCAGAGUAUUUAGACCAUUUAAGUUUUGCUGACUCUGGAUGGAGAGGGUUGAAACCUACCCUCUUCCUAAAGCUUUUUGCUUUUGUCCUGUUUGUCCUUUGUUACUUCCCCCUUUUUUGCCUUCUCUUGGGGCCUCUUCUACAAUUCCAUUUUACUGCACCUGUCAGCUGACCGGUGACCCUUUGGGGGCUUUUCAGUGACGGGGCAGCAUCGUGACUCUCACGUUCGCCCCUCGCUCAGACACAGAAGAAUUCAGAGACACGGGUCUCUGCAGGGCUUCCUGCCCACUAGGAGUUUGCAGCGUCUGCCUCAUGUGGGAGAGAGGUCCAGGGACUGCCCAGUUUCUCCUCUGCAGCCCUCGGGGCGGCGGCGGGGGGUGGGGGGGGGAAUUCCGUCCCUCUUCUGGGCACCUGGCAGCUGGCACAGGCCCUCCCUGUAGCCAAGCCAGCUCCCCAGCUUGUUUUGCCCUUAGGAAUCCAUCAAACCCUCAGCCACAUUCCUUUUAUCUGAGGUCCGGGCCACCGUGCUUUGGUCAGAAUCAUCUGAGGUUUUGUUUGCUUCAUUUUGUUUGGUGCAAGAGGCAAGGAGCAGAUGGUAUACUGUUAACAGAUGGAGAGGAAACCAAAAGCCUCCAGUCUCUUCUCUGCUUCCUUUAUGUAAAAACGGAGUUCCUGCAGAAAGGACACGCAGGCUUGCGGGGAGUGAGAUCCCAACAGAGAAGAACGCGACACCUGCUCUCCAAGGGCGUGUGGGCGGUCCGACCCAGAUAACCUGAAAGACCUUGGGAACGCGUGUGAAGUGCUUGGAGGGAACCUCUCUGGAAUCUUGAAGAACGAGACAGACACCAGGACAGAGGAGGUGGCAGACGCGCCAGCUCUUGGGGCGGGGAGGAGACUACGGAUGCGCAAGCUCACUGUCCACAGGUCCUUGGAGGAUCCGUUCAGCACUCCAGGUGAGGGUGCGCCAGAAAGAGCAGCCUGGACGUUCCAAACCCUUCGAAGCAUAGCAGCGCCGUCAAGGCACCAACAGGUAAACCUCAGGCCGGAGAAGCCACAGGGGUUUCCAGCCACAGCGGCCAAGCUGAGCUCAAGCGUUUCAAGCAACCCCUUCAAGAAAGAGCCGACUUGGGGGUCCCCAUGCCGCUCACUCAGAGAACCAGCCCCUCUGGUCAAUUCCUUCUCCCAGCUGCGUGGGCAUUUGAUACCAGGUCCCCGAAGGGUGAGCCCUUGCACAGAGACCUCUCCACUGUCCGCACCCCCGGACGAGGGCACGAUUUCAGAACACCUGCUCUCCUUGCCGUCACAUCUCCACGUGACUCCCAGCCCACGAGCCACCUCUGCAAAGGACCGAGGCCAGCAAACCUCUUCCUGAUGUACAACCAGUGGGACUCAGCUGCCUCCUGGACCGAUUCACUUCUCACAAAAUUAUCCUGACAGCCUCGCUUGCUGACCUCGGGGAACCCAGACUGAACCCGUUGCCUUGCCUUUGGGACCAGGACGGGCGUUGUUUAAAGAUGGGCCCUGUAUGUCGCUCCAGAUCAGAAUGUUUUCCUUUUAUAGCAUUUUAACAGCUUUUCCCAGAAAACAUCAGCCU